UAUUAAUUAUAUUUAAAUUAAUAAAUAAAAUUAUAUAGGAAACUAUAUCUAUAAUUUCAUAUAAUAAAAUUGAAUAAAGGGCACCAUUCCUUGUGAAAUAUAUACAUUGAUAACUCUUCCAAAUUUUCAAUUUGCCAUGCUACUUUUAAUUCACCAUAUGACAAUAUUCAAUCAAUAUAAUAACUAAAUGGUUACAUAUUAGGAAUACAACCCAAUCUAUCAUGCUGAUUUUAAUUCAUUAUAUAUGGAUAUUUAAUUUAUAUUAUGACUAACAUUUUAGGAACAUAAUAAAACGUUGUUGUUUAAAUGUUGGAUAAUACUUUCCCAGCCCCCAAACACCUAUUUCCCAAAUGUAGAGCAAAAGAGACCAUUCCCAUUUCUAAAUACAAAGGAGACUUGAGAUAGAUGACUACCACGGCAGCACCUUCAACCAAGGCAUCCAGAGAAAAAGUCAACCAGCAACAAAGACGGGGAACAGAAGAUUGAAGAAGCGGGUCAUCACCAGCAUCAGCCAACCGCUAGUCACCCAAGCUAAGUCAGACUGGUUUCAAUGAAAGGACUGGUUCAGCUGAUUUGUCUUGGGGACACGGCCGUGACAAUUGAAUCACGCCGAUUCAGAGUUGUGUCACUGCCUAAGGAUGAAUCAGGUAUCAGACUCGUGCACACCUCACUGAAGUGGAUAAGACUCAGCGGAGUUGUAUCAGACUCGACAGCUACUUCCAACCUUUGCUCAUCCAGGUUUGUGCAAACACAACGAGCCAUUUUCUUUUGCUAGGGCUCGCAAAGAGGAAGAAGAAGAAACCCAGCUGGCAGGCUGACUCCAUAGCCCUAGGUGCCCAUGACUCCAAAAGUGAAUCCCUUGGCAUUUUUUUCUCCAUUUCCCCUACACACAUGCACACGCACACACACACACAUGUUUUCCUUUCCUUUUAUAUUUUAUUUAUUUGGGUUUUAUUUUUUAUAAUGAGACACGUUUUCCUUUCCUUCUAUAUUUUAUUUAUUUGGGUUUUAUUUUUUAUAAUGAGAAAUAUUUUAAAAUUCUUUUAGACACACACACACAUGUUUUCCUUUCCUUUUAUAUUUUAUUUAUUUGGGUUUUAUUUUUUAGAAUGAGAAAUAUUGUAAAAUUCUUUUAGGUAUUUCAGCAACUCGUAAACCGAUACUUGUGUGUGUGUGUAUAUGCUGUAUUUUGCGUAUAUUUUUAAAAAAUCUGAAGAUACACAGUUCCACUGACAAUGUGUGUAUGAUAUUAUAAUAGUAAUACAAUAUAAAUAGAAUAAUGUAUAUUAAUCAAUUAUCUGUUUUAUAAACAUGCAACAGUAACUAUAUAUGUGCACACACACACACACACGUUUUCCUUUCCUUUUUUAAUUUUAUUUAUUUGGGUUUUAUUUUCUAUAAUGAGAAAUAUUUUAAAAUUCUUUUAGGUAUUUCAGCAACUUGUAAACUGAUACUUGUGUGUGUAUGUGUGUGUGUGUGUAUUCUGUAUUUUGUGUAUGUUUUUUAAAAAUCUGAAGGUACACAGUUCCACUGACAAUGUGUGUAUGAUAUUAUAAUAGUAAUACAAUAUAAAUAGAAUAAUAUAUAUUAAUCAAUUAUCUGUUUUAUAAACAUGCAACAGUGACUAUAUAUUUUUUUUUGAUAGGCACAACAGUGACUAUAUAUGUGCAUAUCCAAAUUUUCAAUACUUCAUAAGACUGCACAGGUGCCUUAACGGUGCAUCUCACUUUCCUCAGACAAUGUGCCUUGUUUUGCGCCUUAAGUGUGCCUUGUGCCUCUCAAAACUAUGAGCCAUCCUUGCCAAGAAACAUAUAAACUUAAGUUGCUAAACCAAUAAUGUUCUGUAUAGCCCUGACGAGCUCAAGCCUAAAGCAACUCACAGUUCCUAGUGUGAAAUUAGAGAUGUCAGGAUUUGACUUAGCAGUGUCACUAAACCUUAAAAUGUAUUGCGCUAUCAGAUCACAUUAAACUCUUUAGCACAGCUUAAGAGGCUUAAACAAUUGCCACAAACAAGGAUAACCACUGAAUUUGGUAGUACUCUUUUGGCCAGCUUGUCCUGGGCAACAUCCCUAUAAAUAUACAUUGUAUAAAGUAGCAAAUAAUCAACACAAAUUACAAAUAAUUUAUGCAUACAAAUACAUAUAAAUUAUAUUUGCAUAAAGUAAUCAUAAAAUUUAACAUUAAUCAAUCAACACAAAGCCAAGGUAGACUGCAUCUAGCAGGAACUCCACUGUGAGGCCCAAUCCAGACUUAUGACAUCGAUAUGCUCAAGUGCAAAUAAAAAUAAAUCAUGCUGGAGCCUGGAAACCCAAAAUUUUGCAUGAAGACAGCAAUCUCAAGUACAAAUUAUUUUGAGCUAAGUCCGUGCUAGACCCUAACAUAUUUUCUAGACAAAGACAAAAGGAAAGGUUUAAAAUCAGAGAACCUUCAAAGGCAAAUAUAAAGUGCAAUAGAAACCCAAAUUAAAGUAUCUUCAAAGGCUCAAACUGAUGACAUUAAGCUUGUAAACUACAUGAUUUUUGAAAAUUAAUAACACUGAGAAAUUUUAAGCUGUUAUGAACCAUAAAAGGUAAAAUCUACGAACAGGAAAAUGCAGAAUCAUUUCACAGAAACUAGAUACCAUUCCAGGAAGAACAUUACAAGAACCAAAUAACAAAUGGAGCAGAACUCCCCAAGCAAAUAUAAUCAGAGGAAAACAAGGUAACCAAAGAGCCAUAGAAAUUACC
rnacentral:lncRNA from 1 species